rnacentral:rRNA from 1 species
CCGGAUUUACUGGGCGUAAAGUGUCCGUAGUCUGAUCUGUAAGUCUGUUUUCAAAUCCUACGACUCAAUCGUAGAAAGGGAAUGGAUACUGCAGAUCUAGAAGUAUCUAGGGGUUAGUGGAAUUUCCGGUGGAGCGGUGAAAUGCGUUGAUAUCGGAAGGAACGCCGAAAGCGAAAGCAGCUAACUAUAGAAUACUUGACGAUGAGGGACGACAGUUUGGGGAGCAAACAGGAUUAGAUACCCUGGUAGUCCAAACCGUAAAUUAUGCUUGCUAGAUGUUUUUAUCAGUUUACUGGUAGGAGUGUCGUAAUCUAACGAGUUAAGCAAGCCGCCUGGGUAGUAUAUUCGCAAGAAUGAAACUCAAAGGGAUAGGCGGGGGAACACACAAGCAGUGGAUUAUCUAGAUUAAUUGGAUAAUAAGCCAAGAAUCUUACCUAGGAUUGACAUGUAUUGUGUCUCAGGUGAAAGCCUGAUAUCCGUAGCAAUACGGAGCUUUACACAGGUGGUGCAUGGUCGUCGUCAGCUCGUGUCGUGAGAAG